rnacentral:rRNA from 1 species
AGAGUUUGAUCCUGGCUCAGGAUGAACGCUAGCUACAGGCUUAACACAUGCAAGUCGAGGGGCAGCAUCAUCAAAGCUUGCUUUGAUGGAUGGCGACCGGCGCACGGGUGAGUAACACGUAUCCAACCUGCCGACAACACUGGGAUAGCCUUUCGAAAGAAAGAUUAAUACCGGAUGGCAUAGUUUUCCCGCAUGGGAUAAUUAUUAAAGAAUUUCGGUUGUCGAUGGGGAUGCGUUCCAUUAGGCAGUUGGCGGGGUAACGGCCCACCAAACCAACGAUGGAUAGGGGUUCUGAGAGGAAGGUCCCCCACAUUGGAACUGAGACACGGUCCAAACUCCUACGGGAGGCAGCAGUGAGGAAUAUUGGUCAAUGGGCGAGAGCCUGAACCAGCCAAGUAGCGUGAAGGAUGACUGCCCUAUGGGUUGUAAACUUCUUUUAUAAAGGAAUAAAGUCGGGUAUGCAUACCCGUUUGCAUGUACUUUAUGAAUAAGGAUCGGCUAACUCCGUGCCAGCAGCCGCGGUAAUACGGAGGAUCCGAGCGUUAUCCGGAUUUAUUGGGUUUAAAGGGAGCGUAGGCGGACGCUUAAGUCAGUUGUGAAAGUUUGCGGCUCAACCGUAAAAUUGCAGUUGAUACUGGGUGUCUUGAGUACAGUAGAGGCAGGCGGAAUUCGUGGUGUAGCGGUGAAAUGCUUAGAUAUCACGAAGAACUCCGAUUGCGAAGGCAGCCUGCUGGACUGUAACUGACGCUGAUGCUCGAAAGUGUGGGUAUCAAACAGGAUUAGAUACCCUGGUAGUCCACACAGUAAACGAUGAAUACUCGCUGUUGGCGAUAUACGGUCAGCGGCCAAGCGAAAGCAUUAAGUAUUCCACCUGGGGAGUACGCCGGCAACGGUGAAACUCAAAGGAAUUGACGGGGGCCCGCACAAGCGGAGGAACAUGUGGUUUAAUUCGAUGAUACGCGAGGAACCUUACCCGGGCUUAAAUUGCAACUGACUGAACCGGAAACGGUUCUUUCUUCGGACAGUUGUGAAGGUGCUGCAUGGUUGUCGUCAGCUCGUGCCGUGAGGUGUCGGCUUAAGUGCCAUAACGAGCGCAACCCUUAUCGAUAGUUACUAGCAGGUCAUGCUGAGGACUCUAUUGAGACUGCCGUCGUAAGAUGUGAGGAAGGUGGGGAUGACGUCAAAUCAGCACGGCCCUUACGUCCGGGGCUACACACGUGUUACAAUGGGGGGUACAGAAGGCAGCUACACGGCGACGUGGUGCUAAUCCCGAAAGCCUCUCUCAGUUCGGAUUGGAGUCUGCAACCCGACUCCAUGAAGCUGGAUUCGCUAGUAAUCGCGCAUCAGCCACGGCGCGGUGAAUACGUUCCCGGGCCUUGUACACACCGCCCGUCAAGCCAUGAAAGCCGGGGGUACCUGAAGUACGUAACCGCGAGGAGCGUCCUAGGGUAAAACUGGUGAUUGGGGCUAAGUCGUAACAAGGUAGCCGUACCGG